GACGGAGGAUGCAAGCGUUAUCCGGAAUGAUUGGGCGUAAAGGGCGCGUAGGCGGCCUUCUAAGUCAGACGUGAAAUCCCCAGGCUUAACUUGGGAACUGCGUCUGAUACUGGGAGGCUUGAGUGCGGGAGAGGGAUGUGGAAUUCCAGGUGUAGCGGUGAGAUGCGUAGAUAUCUGGAGGAACACCGGUGGCGAAGGCGGCAUCCUGGACCGACACUGACGCUGAGGCGCGAAAGCCAGGGGAGCAAACGGG
rnacentral:rRNA from 1 species